GCCGUCGACAACUUACCUAUGAGUUUUGUGUUGUCACGAAUAUUUAAUUUUAUCUAACCUAAGAAAUAUAAACGAGAACUUAAGAACUUAAUUUUCCCAAGAGAAAAAAGAAACAAAAAAUAGGAAUUGAAAAUUUGUUAAAAAAAAAAAAAGAAAAAAAAAGAAAAAAGCUUGUUUAAUUUAAUCGCGGUUUGGUGCAACCACGCCUAUACUCUCCAAUGCCAUCUAACAAUUUCUUCUACAAAUACAAACUCGAUGAAGAAACAAUGGCGCUGUUCUUACUAAAAGUGUAAGGUUAAGAUACCUUAAUUUUAUAUUCAAUGUUUAUUUUAAAAGUAAAUUUAUAAAUAAGUUUAAUCCUAUAACUUUUUAAAGUGAUAUACUUUCGUUGUGUGUAACAAAUAUGUCGAGUUAAUACUAAUAUUCAAGAAAAUCAUUUACAUAACCAUACUAUCUAUAUCUAUAGAUAAAUCAUAAAAUAAUAUUUUAUUAGUAAUGUAUUUGUUGCGAAUUGUUCGAUAUCAACAACAGGCUAUUUUUUCGCUAACUGCAAGAGAAUCGUUUCUAAGUAAUCUGUUCAAAGGAGACUAGUUCAAUUCUCGCACAAUUCAAGAUUGACUUUAACUCUAUAUUUAAAAUAUCUAUUAAAGAGGAACCCAAGAAACAAAAGAUUCUAUCAGACAUUUAUAAAGUUGUUUGGGAAAUAUUGGAAAAAGAUGCAAUUUAUAUAUUCAAGAUAAAUGUGAAAUAAGUGACAUGCGAGGCAAUUAAACAACAUAAUAAGAUAAGAGAGAAUAGUGAUGGUACCAUUCCAUCAUUUCCAUUUCAAUGGAAAUACUUUUUGGAGUAUCUGUAUCCACAUAUUUGGCAGUUAUUGAUUUCUUUCUCACGCCCUAAUCGUCACUCUGUUAAAUAUUUGGAUAUCACAAUUUAUUGGGAAUAUCAUGAAUUCAGUAUAUUCAGGAAUAUAUUCAGGAAUAUCAUAAAGAUCAGUAUUGUCAAAGAUAUUCCAAGAUAAAGGAAAUGAUUCUACAAGGAAUACUUUGGAAAUGCUUCUGAGCUCAACAUUUAUGUUGGCACAUAUGUAAGAACGUUUGCAGCAGAAAAGAGAGAAACAACGGUAUUUUCUAAAGAAGUUGAACAUGCAUCUGAGUUAUAUAUGAAUGUAGACGAUUUGAUAUUGGUUUGUAUCAAACAAGAAUAAAUUUGUUUUUAAAUGGUAUUCUGCUUUGUACAUUGUACUUUGCUGGUCAUUUAAUGUCAAUUGGACAAUUAACGUGCGGCGAUCUUAUGGUAUUUUUGAUAGCAUUCAAAUAGUUCAAAGAUCUCUCUUUCUCUAUCUCUCUCUCUCUCUCUCUCUCUCUCUCUCUCUCUCUCUCUCUCACUCUCUCUCCCUCUCACUCUCUCUCUCUCUCACUCUUCCUCACCCUCUCAUCUUCACCCUCUCUUCCUCUCCCUCUCUCUUUCAGAGAAUAUAGAAUUUAAAAAUGUGAAAUUUAGCUAUUCAACUCGGCCAGAUCACAUUAUUUUGAAAAAUUUUAAUUUGAAUAUUCUCACUGAUAAAACAGUUGCUAUUGCAGGUUCUAAUGGGAAUGGUUAAUCAACCAUUACCGAGUUGUUAUAACAGUAUUAUAUUUUAUAGGUAAGAUAUAAAUUUGUAUAAUAAUAUCAGAUUAUCCGUAAAAAUUUCUUUCGUUUUAUAACGAAAUAAUAUUAUAGAUGAACAACAUUUUAUGUCUUAUAUUAUAUUAUGUAUGAUCCAUUUUGUUCUAUUACCUUUUUCCAUCUCUCAGGAAGCCGCAUAAUACCAUCUAUUCAGAAAUUCUGGGAUUCGCUAAUAUAUAAAUAUCAUUCUAUGUGUAUUUUCAUAUCAUUUAUUGUAUUAAAUUUUUUGUCGCGAAGAGAAUUUUUUUAAUGAAAGGAAUAAAUAGUAAUAUCUUCAAAAAUGAAUCUUUGGAUUCAUAUCACAUGUCGAAAUACGAUUAAGGAAGUUGCUCUCUGUCAAUUGAUGCCGGAAUCCCUACUUCAGAGCGAUUGACGUAGCCGAUCUUUUUAAGAUUAUCAUGCACCAUCGUUCACGCAAUGUUUAAGGUAUCCGGCAAUUCACAAAUCGCGGAUUUUUAACCAUGACCUUGAUUAGUUCCGUAUACGUAGUGGAUAGGCAGUGGCUGCGUUCUUCAUCUUCCAGUUCCAAAACUCCUUAACCAACUGCGAACUGUCAAAAUCACACCCAUGUGUGGUGUAAAUCUCAUUUGUGGUAUGUAUAAUUUACUGUUAUUUUUUUUUAAAGCAAUACAGCAUUACAUGUUGCAAAUGGUUCCUUUGAUUUUAUUAUACUUAAAGGCAUGUGAAAUGACAUAUAUAAAACUUCAAUGGAAAUGAAACGUAUUCACAACAUUUGACAGAUAAGUUUUCAUGUUUCUAUAAACAUUGCCAGAUAAAAUAGCGUGCAGAUAGUUAAAGAUAAAUAUUUUGGAUAAACUUAAUAAAAUAUAAUAUGAAAUAUAAAAUUUGUAUUAUACGUAUAUUCUAUAAUAAUUCCUUGAAUUUUUACACAGAUUUUAUGAUGUCAACGAGGAAAUAAUGAUGUCGAUAAUCAAUGUUUCUAUUGACAAAUGAAAUAUUAGAUCUCUUAGAGGUACUAUAUUAGCGUAUAUAGAUCAAGAAUACAUGCUUUUUGCAACUAGUAUAAUAAGGAGAAUAAUAAAUAUGAAAAACAAGAUGCGAUUGGUGAGAAGGCGAAUAAUAAUGUGUGAAUAAAAAUUUUAAUAUUUUACCAAAGUAUUUCAUUAUAUAUUAUGCAUCAUUUAAUAUACCAGAUAAUAAAAGCGACAAAAAAAGCUAACGCUAAUGAAUUUAUUAUAAAAUUUUUAAAUGGUUAUGAAAUCCAUAUUGAUGAGAGAAGUGGCCAAUUAUUUAUUAUGGUGAACAGAAACCGCCAUUAAUAGAGCAUUAGUAAAGUAAUCGUCGAUUUUAAUAUUAAAAGAAGCAAGCGCAAUGGAUUAUGAAAGUAGAAGCGCUAUGAAUUAUAAAAGUAGAAGAGCAAUGGAUUCAGAAAGCGGUAGAAAAUAUAACGAGGGAUAGAAUAGUAUUAGUUAUUGAUCAUAGACAAAGUAUUAUUCAAUCGAGUGAUAUUUUUGUUGGAUUUCAACAAGGUGUUACGUAGGGGUAAGUUUAAAAAUUUUAUAUGGAUUAUUUGCAAGUAACACGGACUAAUAUUCACUACUUGAAAAACAAAGAAGUCUAAAAAUUAUUUAAGUGGACGCUUACAUAUAUUGUUAAUACAAACAUUAAAAUUAAAAAUAUAUAAAUAUAUAUAAAUAUAUAUAAAAAAUAUAUAAAAUAAUUCUUUUUUUGUACUUUAUGCAAAAAAAAUAUACGAAAUAGAUUUUGGAAGCUAAAACCAUUAAAUACGAUCAAAGAUAAAUAACAAGACUGAAACGUGAAAUUCAAAAUCAAUAAUGCAUUUUAAUAUUUUUUUAGAAAACUGUAGAAAAGUAUAAAACGUAAUAAAAAAAAUAUAAAAAAUAAUAAAGCAGAAAAAAAUAAUAACAAUAAAAUAAUAUAAUUACGAACAAAUUCAGGUCGGCAAAUAGCAGAUAAUAACAGAAAACAAGGAAACACGUUGCUAAUGUCAAAAUAGGGGAUCUCCCCAAUCGGUCAUGCAGCUACUUACUUUAAAGUUGGGAGAUCUCCCCAUUCGGUUGGCUAAAUGUUAAAUAUAAUUUAAACGUUAAUUUAAUAAUUGAAUGAUGCAAAUUUUCUUUAAAUUAAUUCAAAAAUCUAAAUUUUCAAUGUCAAAAUAAAUCGAAAUCUUUUUUUUUCAGUAACUACGAUUAAAGUGACGAGUAAAAUAAAAACCUACAUGUUUAUUCCGUUAUUUUAGUCACUUUCUUAUUACAUUAGUUUUUUAUUAUUUAGAAUUUUCUUUUAGUCAUGAUAGUUAUUUAUAGUACUCGUACCAUAUUAUUAUGACAUAUAUCAUGAUAAUAACAAAUAUGGACACCAAUGCGAUCCAUGAGUUUUUGCAGCAUAGACCUUCCCCUCUGCUGCUCCCGGAUCUAUAAAGUCGGUACCACAAGCGAAUAUAAUAGAUGCUGAUAAUGAAAAAACAUGGUUUAAAUACCUGUCAGUUGCCGAAGAAGAUGUUUGCCCAAGCAUGGAAUGUUCACCGUUCGUCGUUGAUGUUUGAUCGGAUGAAUCGAAACUACCCGUCAUUGUAUUCAUUUCGAUUACGUAUGGCAUGCUUUUCGUUCACUUAAUACGAUUAUAUAAAAGAAUAAAUUUUCAAAGAUUGAUAUCUUCUAUAAUCGAAUUCUUUCAGAUCUUGCACUGACUGUUUGGCUGGAUGAGUUAGUUGGACACUGAUACUGAGAUGGAUGAACUUAGUUUGACGCGAAUUGCUCGAUGUAAAGUACUUACGAACGUCUGAUUCGUACGGCGUACUGCGAGCAAAUGACGAAAAGGGCAGGUCGUCAACGCAUCUCGCAAACGCAGUCGUCCUUCCCACGGGAAUGGUACCGUUGCGUCGAUUGGGGUAGGGGUAUCACUAGGUGGAUCAGAGUAGGGGUACGUGAUGGUGGGUGAAGCUUUCAGAGCUUGCCUUCUAUCUAUAGCUAGAAAUGUUCGUGAUAAAAAAAAAAGUUUCUUUCCUGUGGUCGAGCCAAUCCGUCGUUCCUUCAUUAUUCUCCAAUGGCUGGAAUACUUUCAUUUCGAGAAAAUUCACCUCAUCCGGCGUUGACGUCAAAGCUUUGGCGUAAUCUCGAAUAUCAAAGAAGGAAAAUAGAAUAAUACGUAUUUACGCAUCUAUAUAUCUAUUUUUUGUGUUAUGAGUACAUAUUAAAAUGCGUAACGAUCAGGUUCACCGGAAUUAUACCAAUUAUACCGGAAUUAUAAACGGCUUCAAGAAUUUUUGAAGUGUUUCUUGAGAAUAUUAUAAAUUGACGUCCAGAAUUUAAAGACAAUGCAUUUCCUUUUCAAGCAUCGUACUUAUUUUGAAAUAAUACGAAGAAGAAAAAGAAGAGAAAAUUUAUAAUGGCCAAUGACAACGUACUUUGACGAUAUAGGCUAAUACGGCGCAAUUUCAAGAAAAAUUCAAAUGGUGGAGCAAGAAAAUAGAAUACAUUCUUCAAAGGAUAGAAAGAUGGACAGCUUCAGUUAGAGGAUACGAUAGAUUUACGUCAGAAAAGAUUAUCGAAGGGUCAUCAGAUGACGAUGCAUGACGAUCAGCGUGUAUCAAGUUGUACUAUUACUUCGAACAAACUUAUCAUCGAGGAUUCUUCUUAGGGUUUUCUAUGUUCUCAAAGAUAGUCGAUUAAGUUAUUAGAUGUCGUAUCACAAAGAGGAAAUGAAGAACAAUUAUAAUGUUGACAGUGUUCUUGGAUAUCGAUCUAAUGAUAAUAUGGAUAGCAUUUUGUUAAAAAAAUUGUAAAUAUGAUCAUAGUAUUUAUUUCAAAACCUUCGGUGAAAUUAUAAAUGAUAAAAAGAAUCUUAGAAAAAUUAACGAUGAUUCUAAAAAGAGAAAAUUAAUCGAUGCUGAAGAAGAAGAAUUGAACAAUGAAGAUUCCAGAGAUAAAUUUAAUUCUAAUCAAACGGAUGUUGGUGUCUGGCCUAUCAUCGAUUUAGCAAAUGUCGAUUUUUUUUAUCGAAAAUAUCUAACACGGCGUAGCGACGAAGAUUAAAUGGAUGAUCAAUAAUAAUAAUAAUAAUAAUAAUAAUAAUAAUAAUAAUAAUAAUAUUAUGAAAAUGGUACGGAGAAUAGGAAUGAUUAUGAGAGUAGUAGGUUUAAUCAUAAAUUGAAAAAUGAGUUGAGAAAGAAUCAGAAUGAAACUAUGAAUUUAAAAAUGCUUAAAUCUGUGGGGACAAUUAAUUGAUUUAUUGUUUGGUAAUAUAAUAAUGUUUGUCCGGGAAUACUUUUAAAUGAUACGAAAAAUCUUCUGUCCACGUAUUCGUUAUCGUGUUAACAUUUAUUUAAUACGAAAUUUUAUAUUUCCAAACAUUUUUUCCAAUACUCAUCACAUAUGUCAUACGAUAUCUGUUCCAUGGACUCUCUUUUUAAGAGAUAUACCAAAGAGAUAUACCAAAAGGAACGAAAUAGACGUCAGCGUAGAUCAAAUUUCUACUCAUCAAUUUUUAAAGGGAAUUAGAUUUCUACAUAUGUAAUAUAUUUCGAAUUCUACAUACUGCCACCCGUUUUUUCACAUCUCUUCAUUUGAUUUGUUUUAUCGUUCUUUCCUAUCGUGUCAUUGAAUAUGCAGGGAAACCGCGCUUACGUCCUUCCGCGCCUGCGUCCCGCGUAGAGGCGCGCGGAAUUGUAUGCGUGUGUACAAAUGUUUCUCUUUUAGAAGAUUCUUAAGAAAUUUGGUUACGGAGAUAAACCUUUCCGUUUGUUUCUUCUCUCACCAAAUCAUAAUAUACAAUUUGACAAUAAAAUCAUAUUAUUGGCAUCAUUUCAUUACCUCUGAUUACUUCAUAUGUCAUUAAUUUUGUUCUUUUUAUUACUAUAUUUCUAUACAAAUUUACGAGGAUAUGGGUAUGGAGAAUGAUGAUCGAUAAGAGAUAUAUAUAAAGGAGAAAAAAAAAGAAGAAAAAAGAAUUAUUGAUAACAUAUUAAUAUUUCUAAUGAUUUAAUACGUAAUUUGUAUUUAGAUCUGAAAAAUAUCGUAAUAGUUAAACGGUCCAUGUUUUGGUAAAAAAAUCAAGGAUGAGAGCUGAUGGCGCGAGGGCGAAGAAAGAGGGAAAAAAAACUCGGGAUUCAAAUUGAUUGUAACUUUCAUUUUUUGAAAGAGGACAAAAUAUGUUACAAGGAUACACGUUGUUCCUUUCCUGAUCCAUGAUUAUACGUUAUAACAAGACAUAAUAGAAACAAAGUAAUCUGUUGUUUAACGGGAAAGAAGAAAGGAAGGAAUGUUUUUUAAAAAAAUUUGGUAAAAGUCCGAAGAAAAAAAAGAAGACGAUCGAGAGGAAAGAUGAACAUAACUUUCUUAGCGAUCGUAGCACUGCUGGAAUUUGAUGUUGGUGCUUCUAUUCAAUCCUUUGCGACCGAGUGUGUCGGCAAAUAGCCGUCCAAGUCUCGUUCCCGUCAUGGACGCUUGUCGGCAAAUAGCCACCCAAGGCUUUUUCUCGUCGCGAACGCGUGUCGGCAAAUAGCCACCUAAGUCUGUACAGUUACUGACACGUAUUUAAAAGCGGCUAACGUACGUCUUUCUUUCUGAGCGAUAAGAUACGCUUUGAGUAUGGUAAAUUAAACGGGAUAGUCUCUCGUCGAUCGAUGCCGGCCGCAAAAAAUAUUUAAACUUACCACAUGUCCGAAAGAUUGCACGAAAGAUUUGCACAAGAAUACCAUGAAAGCUUAUGAUCAGGAUCCAACGAGAAAAGAUCAAACGUCGAUACCAUGGAAUCUACCCUAAAUUUACAUUGUUGCUGGGGCAAAGAAUGACUAUACAGCUUGAUUGUCUGUGAAUUUGCCCAAUAUUCCUACUGAUCUUAAUGACAUAUAUACCGAGGUAUUAUUAAGGAAAUUUUAUAAAAUAUAUGUUUAAUAAAAUAAUAUAAAAAUAUCUUGGAAUGUAAUUGGUGCAUUUUAUGAAAAGGUACGAACAGUACAAACAGAUUCGUUAGAUCAAGAAUUGCUUAAAGUAGAAAGUUCAUUCGUAAAAUAUUGAUCCACCGAUGGUCGAUUUUGUACUGACAUCUACUGUUAUUAGCAGAUUUAGAAGACAAUGAUCAUUCCAAUCGAAUGGCAAAAGAACCAAAUUUUAUUCCACAAAACAUUUUCAAAUUUUAUUGAAGAAGAAUUAGUAAAGCUUUGUGAUUUCAAGAAAUUGAAAAAGAUUAUGUUGGAAAUAGAAAAAUAAAGUGGAAUACCUAGAAUAUUGACUGGUGUCAUAGGCCCUGUUGAAUCUGAUCCAGAAUAUCAAUUGAUCAUUGAAGCAAUUGAUAUACCAGUUGAAGGAUCUGGAAAUAGUUCAUCCGCAAGCUGCAGAAGAAAAAGUAAAUGAAGUCAAUGUUAAAUACUUAUCAAAUAAUUUAUUCAAAAUAAAUCUUAAUGCAAAUUUCUGUUAUAUGUAUAUAUAUAUAUAUAUAUAUAUAAACUUUAUUAGAUUUAGAAAUAUUAUUAUUUAACAUUUAAACAAAAACUUGAUAUUCUUUUAUCUCUGACACUGUAUCAUGUAAGCGCAAAUACUGUCAAGUAAUUUAUUUAUGUCUUUUUAGGCAAUCUAAUAAUAAAUGAAGCAAUAAAAGUUUCAGAUUCACUUUCGUGUGCGUGCUUGCGUGCGUGUGUGCGUAUGUGUGAGAGAGUACACAUUUUUUUCAGGAAAAAGCAUGCAUACAAUAGAAUUCUUGAUUGCCAUCCGAAUACAUUGACUUUUUUACAUGAAGUCACAAUUAGUAACUCACAAUGGUAGACGAUUGCAACAUCUUUAAAAGAAUCAAAAUAUCUUAAGUAACAAUAUUUCGUGAAUCAUUAUAUAAUAUCGAACAUACUUCUUUAGAGAUGAGUAGAGAUAUGCGACAGUAAAAAAAAGAAAUACAAACUAAAUUUAAUUUUGAUUUUGGUAUA